UUUUAUGGAGAGUUUGAUCCUGGCUCAGAGUGAACGCUGGCGGCGUGCCUAAUACAUGCAAGUCGAACGAUGAAGCUUCUAGCUUGCUAGAGUGCUGAUUAGUGGCGCACGGGUGAGUAACGCAUAGGUUAUGUGCCUCUUAGUUUGGGAUAGCCAUUGGAAACGAUGAUUAAUACCAGAUACUCCCUACGGGGGAAAGAUUUAUCGCUAAGAGAUCAGCCUAUGUCCUAUCAGCUUGUUGGUAAGGUAAUGGCUUACCAAGGCUAUGACGGGUAUCCGGCCUGAGAGGGUGAACGGACACACUGGAACUGAGACACGGUCCAGACUCCUACGGGAGGCAGCAGUAGGGAAUAUUGCUCAAUGGGGGAAACCCUGAAGCAGCAACGCCGCGUGGAGGAUGAAGGUUUUAGGAUUGUAAACUCCUUUUGUUAGAGAAGAUAAUGACGGUAUCUAACGAAUAAGCACCGGCUAACUCCGUGCCAGCAGCCGCGGUAAUACGGAGGGUGCAAGCGUUACUCGGAAUCACUGGGCGUAAAGAGCGCGUAGGCGGGAUAGUCAGUCAGGUGUGAAAUCCUAUGGCUUAACCAUAGAACUGCAUUUGAAACUACUAUUCUAGAGUGUGGGAGAGGUAGGUGGAAUUCUUGGUGUAGGGGUAAAAUCCGUAGAGAUCAAGAGGAAUACUCAUUGCGAAGGCGACCUGCUGGAACAUUACUGACGCUGAUUGCGCGAAAGCGUGGGGAGCAAACAGGAUUAGAUACCCUGGUAGUCCACGCCCUAAACGAUGGAUGCUAGUUGUUGGAGGGCUUAGUCUCUCCAGUAAUGCAGCUAACGCAUUAAGCAUCCCGCCUGGGGAGUACGGUCGCAAGAUUAAAACUCAAAGGAAUAGACGGGGACCCGCACAAGCGGUGGAGCAUGUGGUUUAAUUCGAAGAUACACGAAGAACCUUACCUAGGCUUGACAUUGAGAGAAUCCGCUAGAAAUAGUGGAGUGUCUAGCUUGCUAGACCUUGAAAACAGGUGCUGCACGGCUGUCGUCAGCUCGUGUCGUGAGAUGUUGGGUUAAGUCCCGCAACGAGCGCAACCCCCUUUCUUAGUUGCUAACAGGUUAUGCUGAGAACUCUAAGGAUACUGCCUCCGUAAGGAGGAGGAAGGUGGGGACGACGUCAAGUCAUCAUGGCCCUUACGCCUAGGGCUACACACGUGCUACAAUGGGGUGCACAAAGAGAAGCAAUACUGCGAAGUGGAGCCAAUCUUCAAAACACCUCUCAGUUCGGAUUGCAGGCUGCAACUCGCCUGCAUGAAGCUGGAAUCGCUAGUAAUCGCAAAUCAGCCAUGUUGCGGUGAAUACGUUCCCGGGUCUUGUACUCACCGCCCGUCACACCAUGGGAGUUGUGUUUGCCUUAAGUCAGGAUGCUAAAUUGGCUACUGCCCACGGCACACACAGCGACUGGGGUGAAGUCGUAACAAGGUAACCGUAGGUGAACCUGCGGUUGGAUCACCUCCUUUCUAGA
rnacentral:rRNA from 1 species